GAUGAACGCUGGCGGCGUGCCUAAUACAUGCAAGUCGAGCGAACAGACGAGGAGCUUGCUCCUCUGACGUUAGCGGCGGACGGGUGAGUAACACGUGGAUAACCUACCUAUAAGACUGGGAUAACUUCGGGAAACCGGAGCUAAUACCGGAUAAUAUAUUGAACCGCAUGGUUCAAUAGUGAAAGACGGUUUUGCUGUCACUUAUAGAUGGAUCCGCGCCGCAUUAGCUAGUUGGUAAGGUAACGGCUUACCAAGGCAACGAUGCGUAGCCGACCUGAGAGGGUGAUCGGCCACACUGGAACUGAGACACGGUCCAGACUCCUACGGGAGGCAGCAGUGGGGAAUAUUGCGCAAUGGGCGAAAGCCUGACGGAGCAACGCCGCGUGGGUGAUGAAGGUCUUCGGAUCGUAAAGCUCUGUUAUUAGGAAAGAAAAACUGUGUAUGUAAACAUGCCCGUCUUGACGGUACCUAAAGAAAAAGCAACGGCUAACUACGUG
rnacentral:rRNA from 1 species